rnacentral:lncRNA from 1 species
UAGUCCGGCUACGAUACUCUUAUGAGUACGAUCGUUCUGGUAUUCAUAAGUCGUUUUCGAUAAUAGAGCUUCUGAAUCGAUAAUUCAUACCGUUAAAUAUUAUUUAAAGCAUUUAAAAUUUUUAGAAAUCAAAAUUUUAUAAUUUUUUGACAUUAUUUAUCUUACAAUCAAAAGGUCACAAAAUUGACAGUUUUUAACGGCUGGUAUAAGAUACUUGGUAGUUUAACGGUGUAGAAGAAUCGGAAUCGGUUGAAUUUUUGAUAGAAAAUUCUAUUCACUACUUAGAAAAAGAUUAAUAACUCCGAUCUUAAAUUGAAUGAUUCGAUCAUCCAUAUUUAGGACAUCGUUCAAUUUCGACCGUUCAUUUUAUACCCACUUGAUGGACUUUAUUAUGAUUUCGAAAACUUACAAAAUUUAUUUUCUAGAAGUUUCAAAUACUCUAUAUCAUAUUUGAUGGAGUGGAUUGUCGAUUCGGAAGCUCCAUCAUCGAAAACAACUUAUGAGUAUGAAGGACUCUAUACUCAUAAGAGUAUAUUAGUCCUACUCUCUCCCUCUCUUUCUCUCUCUCUCUCUCUCUCUAUAUAUAUAUAUAUAAUUUAGCUAAAAUAUUUUUAAAAGCAUCUACCCCUUGGUGCUUCUAGGUUUUUAGCCGUUGGAUCUACUAUUUCAUUACUAAUAACCUUUGGAUCAAACACUAUUUCACCUACCACCACCUACCACCAUCAUCUUAACCCUACAUCUCUCCAUCCAAUGGCUAAAAACUCAAAAGUACCACUCUCUUGCUGCUUUUGAGAGUAUUCUAGUUCAACUCUCUGUCUUUAUAUAUAUAUAUA